rnacentral:rRNA from 1 species
UCGGGAAUCUUGCACAAUGGGCGAAAGCCUGAUGCAGCAACGCCGUGUGGGCGAGGAAGGCCUUCGGGUCGUAAAGCCCUGUUGUUGGGGACGAAGGGCGAAGGGUUAAUAGCCCCUAGCCUGACGGUACCCUUCGAGGAAGCCCCGGCUAACUACGUGCCAGCAGCCGCGGUAAUACGUAGGGGGCGAGCGUUGUUCGGAAUUACUGGGCGUAAAGCGCGCGUAGGCGGCUAUUCAAGUCAGAGGUGAAAGCCCGGGGCUCAACUCCGGAACUGCCUUUGAAACUAGAUAGCUAGAAUCCAGGAGAGGUGAGUGGAAUUCCGAGUGUAGAGGUGAAAUUCGUAGAUAUUCGGAAGAACACCAGUGGCGAAGGCGACUCACUGGACUGGUAUUGACGCUGAGGUGCGAAAGCGUGGGGAGCAAACAGGAUUAGAUACCCCCGUAGUCCAAUAUUCCCCACUGCAGCCACCCGUAGGAUGAACUG